GGUAUUGAUUGGUGCUUGCAUCAUGAUUUACAUUUGAGUGAGUGGCGAACUUGGUGAGUAACACGUGGGAAACCUUGCCCAGAAGCGGGGGAUAACACCUGGAAACAGAUGCUAAUACCGCAUAACAACUUGGACCGCAUGGUCCGAGUUUGAAAGAUGGCUUCGGCUAUCACUUUUGGAUGGUCCCGCGGCGUAUUAGCUAGAUGGUGGGGUAACGGCUCACCAUGGCAAUGAUACGUAGCCGACCUGAGAGGGUAAUCGGCCACAUUGGGACUGAGACACGGCCCAAACUCCUACGGGAGGCAGCAGUAGGGAAUCUUCCACAAUGGACGAAAGUCUGAUGGAGCAACGCCGCGUGAGUGAAGAAGGGUUUCGGCUCGUAAAACUCUGUUGUUAAAGAAGAACAUAUCUGAGAGUAACUGUUCAGGUAUUGACGGUAUUUAACCAGAAAGCCACGGCUAACUACGUGCCAGCAGCCGCGGUAAUACGUAGGUGGCAAGCGUUGUCCGGAUUUAUUGGGCGUAAAGCGAGCGCAGGCGGUUUUUUAAGUCUGAUGUGAAAGCCUUCGGCUCAACCGAAGAAGUGCAUCGGAAACUGGGAAACUUGAGUGCAGAAGAGGACAGUGGAAACUCCAUGUGUAGCGGUGAAAUGCGUAGAUAUAUGGAAGAACACCAGUGGCGAAAGCGGCUGUCUGGUCUGUAACUGACGCUGAGGCUCGAAAGUAUGGGUAGCAAACAGGAUUAGAUACCCUGGUAGUCAUACCGUAACGAUGAUGCUAGUGUUGAGGGUUUCCGCCCUCAGUGCUGCAGCUACGC
rnacentral:rRNA from 2 species